UCUCACCUGUCACGUGUUGGCAGGCAACUCAGUUUGGCAUCCAGUCGAGCCAGUGAGGAGCUCGAAGUUCCAAUAAAAUCUGAAUCCGAUCAGACGGAACGAACCUGCCUGACUGCUCUGAUUCUGACUGUUCAAAGAGACACACCUGAGCAGACUCAUUUUAGAGCCAGAGAUGUCUGAUGACCUCAGGUUCUGGGGAGAGAAAAAACUCUGAAAUGUGAUCUGGAUCCAUGAAGAGCUGCAGAACUGACGAAUGAAACAGAAAGCAGAGACCAAGGCACUGAUGUGGGUCUGAACCUGGACCUGGACCUGGACUGAACCAAGAAACAAAACAUCACAGCAGACAUGAAGUCAGCUGACAUCACUUCCCACUAAUAAAAAAAAAUAUUGAGAUGACAGCGAAUGCACAACAGCGACCCCUUCACAGACCGUCUGGAAGAUGGAACGCUGACAUCCAAAAUACAACUUCAACCAAACUUCCUCUUACUGCUGCUGUGAUGUCACAGCGUGUUCUGACCAACAUAUAUGACUUGCUGGACGCCGCUGUGUGUGUGUCGAAGUCACAGCUUCCUCUCUCUCUGAGGGAGUUCCCACUCUGACUCUAUGGGAUUGCACGCCCUCUCUUUCU